rnacentral:lncRNA from 1 species
CUGACACUGACGUCAACCUUGCUUGCUUUUUCAGCUGGUGCUUGGGGUAAGAAGUCAGGUCCUGUGCACAGCACUCUUGUCCUCCCCAGCCCGCAGCACUGUUGGGUUUUGCAUGCAAAAAACUAUUGCUUCCCCCUAGUGAAAAUGACUCAGCAAACAAGAGCAGUUUUCAGUCAAAUUCCAUUGCUCUCCAAACUGCCCAAAAGCCUUAGAUGGUGACCUAACUCCCAGGAAAUGUGCUGCCUAUCUACUUCACUUCAACUACCAUGCUUGAGAAUGAACUGAAAGGCAACAAGACUGGGGACACCAGGCCAUCAACACUGUCUCAGAACAAAGGACAAGGAUCUGCCAGUGUGCUUCCUGCAUCCAGUCUGGAUCAGAUGCCUGUACUUAGCAGCCAUGGAUGUCACCAUGCUGAGUCAUACUGCAGCCAGGCGGAAAUGAAAAUUUUUCAGUCGUAAUUCUGGCUUUUUUUUUUUUUUUUUUUUUUUUUUUUUUUAGAAUUGUUUCCAGUAUGGACUUUGUCUGAACUUCUAUUUUAAUGCUUAUCUUGAUCACUGGUUUGUGUUUCUUUUUUUGUGGAUUUGUUGUGUGGUACCUCUUUAAAACUGUCCCCUCGGGUGAAUGCCUUGCUCAAUCUUCUCAGACCCCAGCAGGAGUGAAAUGCUGAAUGUAAAACUGAAGGGAAUGGCCACCACAGGUGACAAUGCCCAAAUCCCCAGAGGCUGAGACUGUGUAAGCUCCUGUGACAAAAUAACAUUUGCAGCUGGGACUAAGGGAACUCAAGAUAAGAAACUGCCUUGGGUUACCCAGGUGGCCUUCUCUAACUGCAAGGGAGGCAGGGGAGGACAGGUGUUAACAGUAGCAGGGGACAGAGAGUGGAGACUCACUCCUGUUAACAGUGAAGAUAGGGAGCAGACAACAGAACAGAGGACUGAUGAAGGUGAUUAAACAGAGAUUCCCAAGUCUCCGAGUCUCCUGCUAAUGCUGGGCUUUUUCCCCCAGAGAGGCCAGUCUGGAGCGCUGACCUUUGAACUGUGAAGCAAUAAACCUAUGGGUUUUUAAGUGUUUGUGGAGACC